GUUACCCAAUCAAAAAAAAUCAAUAAAAUUAGUUUGGCAUGAUCUCCCUGAAGUAAACCCAUGUUGUCUCUGAUCUUGAAAUCCAUGUGUUUUUAGAUGUUCAUCAAUCCUAUCCUUUAACAUGAUUUCCAUCACUUUCCCCACUACUGAAGUAAGUCUUUCCUCCAAGCUAUACAGGGAGUGCAGAAUUAUUAGGCAAAUGAGUAUUUU